GAAACGGAAACAGCCCAAUCCAAGAGGCUUGCCUCUUGGGGUUGUAGGACACUCAACAACGGAGUGAUCAAGAAACGGAGUAGGUGAACUGUCUGGAAAGGCAGGCCGAAGAAGGUAACAGCCCUGUAGCUGAAACUUCGUUUCCUCCAGAGUGGAUCCUGAGUACGGCGGGACACGUGAAACCCCGUCGGAAUCCGGGAGGACCAUCUCCCAAGGCUAAAUACUCCCUAGUGACCGAUAGUG
rnacentral:rRNA from 1 species